rnacentral:rRNA from 1 species
GGUUAAGCGACUAAGCGUACACGGUGGAUGCCCUGGCAGUCAGAGGCGAUGAAGGGCGUGCUAAUCUGCGAUAAGCGCCGGUAAGGUGAUAUGAACCGUUAUAACCGGCGAUACCCGAAUGGGGAAACCCAGUGUGAUUCGUCACACUAUCAUUAACUGAAUCCAUAGGUUAAUGAGGCGAACCGGGGGAACUGAAACAUCUAAGUACCCCGAGGAAAAGAAAUCAACCGAGAUUCCCCCAGUAGCGGCGAGCGAACGGGGAGGAGCCCAGAGCCUGAAUCAGCAUGUGUGUUAGUGGAAGCGUCUGGAAAGGCGCGCGAUACAGGGUGACAGCCCCGUACACAAAAGCGCAUGUGCUGUGAGCUCGAUGAGUAGGGCGGGACACGUGGUAUCCUGUCUGAAUAUGGGGGGACCAUCCUCCAAGGCUAAAUACUCCUGACUGACCGAUAGUGAACCAGUACCGUGAGGGAAAGGCGAAAAGAACCCCGGCGAGGGGAGUGAAAAAGAACCUGAAACCGUGUACGUACAAGCAGUGGGAGCCCCACCACUAAGCCAGUGGUGAACUCCACAUCCGCAUCCUUUGCUGAGGAUACGGUUAACGGAGCGAAAGCGACGUUCAACCGCAAAACAAGCAGAGGGGGCUUAGUGGUGGGGUGACUGCGUACCUUUUGUAUAAUGGGUCAGCGACUUAUAUUCUGUAGCAAGGUUAACCGAAUAGGGGAGCCGGAGGGAAACCGAGUCUUAAUUGGGCGUUAAGUUGCAGGGUAUAGACCCGAAACCCGGUGAUCUAGCCAUGGGCAGGUUGAAGGUUGGGUAACACUAACUGGAGGACCGAACCGACUAAUGUUGAAAAAUUAGCGGAUGACCUGUGGCUGGGGGUGAAAGGCCAAUCAAACCGGGAGAUAGCUGGUUCUCCCCGAAAGCUAUUUAGGUAGCGCCUCGUGAAUUCAUCUCCGGGGGUAGAGCACUGUUUCGGCUAGGGGGCCAUCCCGGCUUACCAACCCGAUGCAAACUGCGAAUACCGGAGAAUGUUAUCACGGGAGACACACGGCGGGUGCUAACGUCCGUCGUGAAGAGGGAAACAACCCAGACCGCCAGCUAAGGUCCCAAAGUCAUGGUUAAGUGGGAAACGAUGUGGGAAGGCCCAGACAGCCAGGAUGUUGGCUUAGAAGCAGCCAUCAUUUAAAGAAAGCGUAAUAGCUCACUGGUCG